AGAAGACAGCUCUCAGGCAUGCUGUUGAGUGAAAGCAGAGGAAAAAGACCUUCAGCACUGCCUGCACUGCACCUCCUUAUCCACUACUCUGCCAGACAACUCCACAUCACAAUCUUACUUCACUUCACCUUGAAGCCAGUUAGAAUUUUUGUCCUCACUUCCAGUCAAAGGCUGUUCCCAAACAUCAAACUGAGAACUGUAACCAUCAUAGUGUGAAGGCUACGUUUACUCAUACACGUAUUAUUCCCUCUCGGUCUUUCUCAUACGUUGCUAUUUCUGGUCAAAAGAUGCCUCUCCCGUGUGACUCUGGAAGUAGUAACUCUGUUUUCUUUGUAGAUUGCUGACUACAGAUGACCCAGCUGAAAUGGUAAUAAAACCAAGAUUUCCAUGA